AGGGCGCUUGGCGCAGGGCCGAGUGCACAGCGGAGGGUACUAUCGACCCGGCGCAGGCGGCAGACCCCACCCGGAAGAUACCUGGCUGUGUGUGUGUCUGUGUGUGUUGGAGAGUGUCAAACCUUAAUUCAUCCCACUGCUUGCCUGUCUCUUCUCCCCUGCCAGCCAAGAGCCGCCCAUCCUGAGAGAGAAAAAUCAGGCCGUGAAAAGCGAACCGUACCGGAGUCCGUUGGGGUCUGUUUCCUGCACUUUUGCUGUAUACCCCAGGAAUGCUGCGGUGUGCGCCCCGGGUGUGUUUCUCCUUAACAAGGGCCGCCAGACAGUGGAGCCCCAGAAGGCCGAGACGAAGAGGCUGGCAGUCCAGUGCUCAAUACCUGAUGACAGGCCAGCUCUUGGCUGCUGGGCUGGACAAAGGCAAGGGCCUAAGCAGAAUUUUCAAAUUGAGGCUAUCAGUCUGUUCUGCAAAGUGGGGAAUGUGUGGUCCUGGCCUGAGAGCGCCCCCUCUCGGGCUGAAUUGCUUCCUCCCCACUGCUUGCGGGCCCACAGUUCAAUUCCCCGCACAUUUUGGGGUCCCUCUUCCCAGAAACUAUGUCCGCGCUAGCUGCUGCUGAUUCAGUGAUUCUCCGCGGCAGCUUCUCCUCUGCCGGGUUCGUCCGGACUAGAGAUCGCCUCCUAGACACGUGUCCAGUUCAAAAGAUCCUGGGACAGGGGCAAGCGGUUCGACCUGGGUGAACCAAGGAGUUGGAGGAUGUUGCAGACCCCGGAGAGGCUGUCAGAGUGGAUGCAGACCGCCCCCGCCCUUCCCUCGCACCGAAUCAGAGAACUCAACCCCGCCCGCACAGGAGGCAGGAGCAGGGGCGGGGAGCUUUCAAUUUGUUCCAGUGAUGGCUCUAACUUAAUAAGGCGAUUGAUUAGCGCUCAAAGUGCCGUUUUAAUUAGCCGCUUGUUAAUUAACAUCGCAAAUGAAUUUCCCCUUCCCUGAUUGGCAUCUUCACCCAGCGCUUUGAGGCUUUCGUCUCUCCUCUGCCUGGGCGCCUCCAUUCCCUCUGAACCUCACGAGUUAGUGGAAGAAUCAACUUCGUUCAUAAACCUUAGAGCCUUAAGAGUUCUAUUUAUAGCAGUACUGACGUUGUCACACGGGGGCCCUUUCAUUUCUCUAGGAACCCGUCUUGAAUGGAAAUGAUUCAGUUUAGGAGAGGUGAAAUAAAAUCUCUCCCCACCUUCUCUCUCCGAUCCUUCAACUGCUUCCACUUUUUUUUUUUUUCUGUCUCCAUACCUGACUUGGAGGGAGACUUCAUUCUACUUCCAAAAUUUGGAACUCUAAAAAGUAGAAAGGAAUAGAUAUGGGCUUCCCCUAUUCCCUUACAGUCUUGGUAGGAGGGGGCUGGACCAUUUCUUGGGAGCAAAAAUCUAAGACUGUGUAACUUGCUGUAAAAUUCUGCUGCUGAGGUCUGUGAACACAUGUAGUUAUUUCCUGUUUCCUUCAAGAUGCUCCAAGAGUAUUUUGUACCUUCCUGAAGCACACAGGAGAGAUGCCUAGAGCCAAUAUGCACCCACACAUUUGUAGCCCAGCACUCCAGUUAGGAGAUUAAAGGUUUGACAAUCUUUGGAUAUUUUUGCACUGUUAUUACUCUUAGCUACGAUAAAAAUCCCUCACUAUAUCAUAUCCCUCUACUUGGGAUACAUCCCUUUUCUUUCAUGACUGAACACCCACUUUUUUUCCUUUAGGAAGCCUUUCUGUUCCCCUAUCUCCUCCCAGGGUAGGACUCCCCAGUCUUUACUUUUGUAUCCUCACUGCAGCAAAUUCAUGUUGCCCUCUUGCAUGUUCAUGCUCCUGUUAACUCUCUCAUUCUCAAGCACCUGGCACAGUAAGCAUAUUGUGCAAUGUUUAUGGGCUAAGUGAAUGAACAAAAUGAGUGAGCAAGGAAAUGUGAAAAAAUACAGCUACUGUAUGUUACCU
ensembl:lncRNA